CCUACGGGUGGCAGCAGUAGGGAAUCUUGCACAAUGGACGAAAGUCUGAUGGAGCAACGCCGCGUGAGUGAAGAAGGGUUUCGGCUUGUAAAGCUCUGUUGGUAGUGAAGUAAGCUAGAGGUAGUAUCUGUCUUUUUCUUGACGGUAAUAAUUUAGAAAGUCACGGCUAAUUACGUGCCAGCAGCCGCGGUAAUACGUAGGUGGCAAGCGUUGUCCGGAUUUAUUGGGCGUAAAGCGAGUGCAGGCGGUCCGAUAAGUCUGAUGUGAAAGCCUGCGGCUCAACCGGAGAAUUGCAUCAGAAACUGUUGGACUUGAGUGCAGAAGAGGUAGGCGGAACUCCUGGUGUAGCGGUGGAAUGCGUAGAUAUAAGGAAGAACACCAGUGGCGAAGGCGGCUCACUGGACGGCAACCGACGCUGAGGCUCGAAAGCGUGGGUAGCAAACAGGAUUAGAUACCCCUGUAGUC
rnacentral:rRNA from 1 species